rnacentral:piRNA from 1 species
UGGAAAGUCUCUGCCCUCUGACUGACU